ensembl:lncRNA novel transcript
AGGCAGGCUUGCUCCGCCACAGGCGCGCAGGCAACAGCAGCGGAGCCGAGAAUGGCGAGGCCAGCGGGCGACCAGGCCUCCGGCCAAGGGCACGCGACCCCCCGCGCUUCCCGAGUGCUCCCCUGAAGCCUGGUACGCGUGGGCACCGGCGCACGGCGGUGCCCCGGAAACGCAGCCAUCGCCUCAGGGCAGCCACUCACCGAUGCGGUAAUGCCCCAACGGGGCGUUUCAUUGGCCAGCUCUCUUUCAGGCUCCAACUAUUUCUUAGAUUUUUUUUAAGGAAUUGCAAAUAGGCCUAAACAAAAUCCAGAUGCGAGGGAAGGGAUGCCUGAACACAGAUGGGUGGGAGAACACGCCCCGAGGUGCUGCUUUGGCAGAGAAGCCCUGUCUGCGAGCCCCGAGGCGGAGAUGGCUCCCCAAGCCUGAUGCAGACAAGAGAGCCCGCCCCUCCCCUGUCCCGCACCUGCUGAACUUUGGGGUCAGCAGAGGAAUGUCCCCCGCUGUUAAUGUUUUGUUUUUACUGUUUUACAAUUCACAUUUCGUGCUGCAGGGUGUACCGUGAAGCUACAACAGGGACAGACAGUUUCGAAAUGACCAGGCUGGCAGUUGGCUGAGCCAGUCUCUUAGAACCCUUUGAAGCACUGGAUGCAGGCUGAUGAGCUGCCAUAAACGUCUUUGAGUCCCAACACUGCUCAGGAACUGCAUAUCAUACCAAAGUCUGCCUGUGUGAUCCUUUAAUUUGUGAAUGUAAAAACUGAGGUGGGAGGCAAAUACUGAUGUUCUCAAAGACCCGUCUCAGCUAUUCCAUUCAAACAGAGCCCAGAAUCUUCAAAAUUCUGCUUCUUCAGCUUACCUCCUGUCUCAGGCUGGUUCCCCAGAAGCAUCCCAGAGAUGCAGAUUUGUGAGAAAGUGAUGUGUUGGGCAGUGUCCCCUGCAGGGAAGUGAGGAUGCAAGACAGUGAGAAGGAAGCCAAGCAAGAGUGCAAUGUCAAGCAAGGUCCCGUGCUUGCAGGGCACUGGCUCCUCCCACAGAGGAGAUUUGGAGACUGAGAGCCCCUCCCUCCAUUGGUCAAGGGCCAUCUCAGAGGGAUGCAUGUUUCUAGGUAUCCCCCACUCUCUCUGCACACAGGUAAAGGAGACUCCAGAAGCAUGAGGGCAGCCCUCUCACAAAGAAGCAUGGGUUCUGGAUACCGAGAGUAAAAGCAAACGUGGAGCCAAGGGGUGUGAAAAUGGGAAAGGGACCCAAGGAAAUAGAGUAGUGCAUCCACCAUGAGUAAGUGCCACAGUCACUGGGUCAGCACCUGCUGUGUCCAACACCAUGCUAAGUAUCGUGGAGAGGAGAGAAGUUACUAGACUUCCCUGCUGUCAUCCUUAAUGGACUAUUGUCUCUUCCCUAGACACCUCAAACUGGGAUUUAAGGUACAUAAGCUCUCAGAAAUGGCUUCCUGGAAUUAUGGCCAUGAACAUCAGUGAACUGUUAGGGUCCGUAGUUACAUCUGGAAAAUGACUGCCGUUUCAAUACACAGGAUUAGUUACAAUAACAGCAACAGCCAUAAUAAUAAUGUGGCAGAGACUAGCUUGAUGCUCAUCACAUCUCUACCUGGGCACAUAGCAAAGUUUUCUAUUCCAGCUCCCACCCUGGAUCUCGGGUCCUAGUUCUCAACAACGAAAUGCUUCCAAGCCAAGUUAAAGCAGCCACAACUUUCAAACGAAAACCUAAAGAUCCUGUGUUGAAGACAGUGGCACCUUAAAAUGCAAGGGCAGUAUCCUUGAGUCCUCAGGUCACCAGAAAGCCACCCGAUCAGGACCAUCGACACUAGACUCUGUGUUAGUGAGAAACAAACUUGUGUUAAGCCAUCAUGAUUUUAAAGUUGUUAGCAGUCAGCUUGCUCCAAUAGGAUGAACACUAAUAAACAUAGCGGUAACAACCUGCUGGGUAGUAUCAUUAUUCUCACUUUGUUGGUGAGGAACUUGAGGCCCAAAAUGGUCAGAAAGUUAGCAGAUGGCAGAGCUGGUAUUUCAAGUCUAUUUUUUAAUCCCUAUCUUGCACUCCUUGGUCACGUAAACCUUGUGUGAAUAUGUUUGAUGCUUUAAUGGAGCAAAGAGGAGAAUAUUAAAAUACCAGGUUUCUUGGGUGGGAUGUGGAGUGAGGAGGAAGAACACAAAACGGAAAGGCUCCACGCAUCAGAAGCCAAGCUUUGGGCACUCCACAGUUUUGCUAAAGACUUCCCUGUCUGCUCACAUCUGGUCUGUUCCCCAGUAUCCUCACUGUAUUAAAGUUGUUUCUUUGUCAU